CAGCAGCCGCGGUAAUACGUAGGUGGCGAGCGUUGUCCGGAUUUACUGGGCGUAAAGAGCGCGCAGGCGGUCGUGCAAGUCGCGUGUGAAAGCCCCCGGCUCAACUGGGGAGGGUCACGCGAUACUGCUCGACUCGAAGGCAGGAGAGGGAAGUGGAAUUCCCGGUGUAGUGGUGAAAUGCGUAGAUAUCGGGAGGAACACCAGUGGCGAAGGCGACUUCCUGGCCUGUUCUUGACGCUGAGGCGCGAAAGCUAGGGUAGCAAACGGGAUUAGAUACCCCGGUAGUCCUAGCCGUAAACGAUGGACACUAGGUGUUGGUGGUAUCAACCCCGCCAGUGCCGAAGCUAACGCAUUAAGUGUCCCGCCUGGGGAGUACGGCCGCAAGGCUAAAACUCAAAG
rnacentral:rRNA from 1 species